rnacentral:rRNA from 1 species
CCCUUAGAUGUUCUGGGCCGCACGCGCGCUACACUGACUGCUCCAACAAGUUACCUGGGCUGACAAGCAUCCGGGAAAUCUUGCAAAGGCAGUCGUGAUGGGGAUAGAUUCUUGUAAUUUUUGAUCUUCAACGAGGAAUUCCUAGUAAACGCAAGUCAUCAGCUUGCAUUGAUUACGUCCCUGCCCUUUGUACACACCGCCCGUCGCAUCUACCGAUUGAAUGGAGAGGCAAAAUCUUCGGACCGUGGCGCUUGGGAGUCAAAUCUCGGGCUGUCGUGGGAAGUGGAUUAAACCUUUCUAUUUAGAGGAAGGUAAAGUCGUAACA